GAUUACGCGCUCUGUCCAGAUUGGAAUCCUGCCUGUUUUCUCAGGAGACUCUGGCGCUGAGGUUGGGGUGCAGACAAUGGAGCGUCCCAUCACAUUCCAAAGCUGCACCGUGCGCGGCCUCGGGAGGAAGAGGAAGGACUGGAGCCCUCAGCGUCUGAUACACAGGCAGACACACACCUUCUUCCAGCACCACCUCACCCUGUACUUCUCCCGGAGUUAGGCAGCGCUGUGAGUCAGUUCACGGUAAAGGCAGGCGGCUGCGUGCAGGGCGAAGACCCCACGAUCAGAGGAGCACAGACGGGAAAGGAUGCCACCGCCAUACAGCAGAGGGCGAGGCGCUCCAUGAGCUCUGCAAGCAGGGCGGCCGCUGCACCGUCUCCCGCAGGUUUUAUCGGGGAUUUGCAGCGACGCUAGGGCCGGGAGUUCGCUGCAGCGAAACUAGACUGGAGGGUGUUCCCGGUUUCUGCGGGAAUGAAUGCGGAGGGUGCGUCUGCUGCAGGAGCUGAGUGCCAAGCGACAAUCCCGGCCGCUGCACGGAGCCCAGCUACGGAGCGACGGCGGCUGCCUGCAAUUCUUGGGUACAAACAGCUGAAAGAUCGUACCACUAGACUCAAAAGCACAAGAGAUUCUGCAUGCGUUGGAAAUAAAGAAUAACACACACAGGACUCUGGAGGAACUCGGGAGGCCAGGCACCAUCGAAACAGUUGACGCUUUGAGCCAAGACCUUUCACCAGACUCAAGGGCACCUUCUAUCCUACAAUCAGAUAGACCUCUUGUACACAAAAAGAAGGUCCCCCUUCCUCGCGUGCACUUUCACCCCAUCCCUGCACCUUAGCUCAGGUGCUUGAUGAUGUUGAUAAAUGUUUGGAGCUUAGCUCCAUCUACAUCAAGAUGGAUCCACCCACCUCAUAUCCAUCCUUUCGUGCUACCCAAGCUCAAGGGUCUUCCCUCAGCCUCCAAUGCUCCAGAGAGAAUAACUCAAGUUCAUCCAGUUUCUUCUGGAUGCCCUCUAAUCCAGGUGGCAUCCUGGUAAACAUCAUCUGUGUGCACUGCAAAGCUCCAACAUCCUUUCUAUAAUGAAGUGACCUGAAAGAACAGAACUGACUGUUGGAUCGGACCAGCAGGUUUUAAUAGAGGCAGAGAUCCCAGAAUCAAUUAAGAAACAAUUUGAUGCAAUAAUGGGGAGGAGAACUGUAUGCAAUUUGAGCUCUUCUGACACAUCACAGCAAUAUUUUUGCACUAGAAAUAGCUUGUGAAAUAUUAGUUUAACAAAAGCAGACAGUAGCAGAACACGCCAGCAAAGACCAGGAAAUCAGGAAAACAUGGAACAGAUCUUCAUUUCCCCCUCAAAGCCUUGCACUGAGAAACCUACAGAUAUCAGAGUCCAAUCACUUUUUAUGUUUAUGUUGGUGAACAGGAAAAUGUUUUCAAUAAAAGCAAGAUUCAAAAGACAAAAAAUGAAUCAAAAUUAUUGCGAAUCAUUUUUGAGGUUGGGAUUGAAUGGUUUAUACUGAAGCAAAACAAAAACUGCUGGAAGAACUCAGGGGGUCAGAAGGCGUCUCUGUGGCUGGUAUCUGUGGUUAACUCUGCCCUCGGUAUUGCAGUAAGUCAGGCCAUCGGUGCUGAGAGAUGAUGUCAUCAACUCAUUGGAAACUUGGCAGUGGGGAAAAUCACAUACACUUUCACAUCAACAGCAGCUCCCAAGUUCACCACGUCUCAUACGAGAAGCAAAUAUCGUUAUGUGCAAUUGUGUUACCAACCCAAGCAGAGCGGAAAGUUCUGAGGGAGAAUGAAGUCCCUUGUAUAUUGGAGAACACUUUUUACACAAAUAUCUGUCUACUAAUUGUACAAAGUAUUUACCUCAUAUUGAUGUAACAGCUCAAAAUUAGUCCACAACAGAACAUUAGGUGAAUAGCUGUGUACACAAUAUGGUAUGCAGAUUUUAUUUUAUUUAGACAUGAAGUACGGAACAAGCCCUUUUGGCCUAAUGAGCCACACCAAGCCAGCAACCCACCUACUUAGCACUAGCCUAAUCACAGAACAAUUUACAAUGACUAGUUUAUCUACUAACUGGUCCCGAGCUGUAAUAGCGUCGCGCUAAGUGCUAUGCAACCAGGGUGCCCAUAUAGGAAAUCAUUUUCCCACAGUGUGUGGGGGGGGGGGGGGGGGGCAAAAACAAGAGGUUUAAAGUAAAUCGGGGUUUUUAAAUCAGAGCCAUUUCUAUAGCAACGAAUAAGCAAGACGAUGAAAGUUGGGUCCUAACAUAAGCAAUGGUACAACAGCUAGCUUGAACAAGAUCACCCGAAUGGCCUGUUUCUGUGAUGCAUUUCUCUGUGAUCCUCUACAAACUUAUCAAAGUUGAAUUUUCCAAUGCUUCCAGUUUGAUUUUCUUUUUGGAUCUGGACAAUAAAGACAUUCCCAAGGGCACAAGGUUUGUAAUUUAGAGUAUUUACUGGUCAUUUUACAGAGAUGACCACAGACAAAAUAAGUGCUAUUAAUGCCAGUAGGAGCAUUUCUUUAAAAUGGAUCACAGACGGCAGUUAGAGAACCCGCGCUGCGGAAGCUUCGGCAGACUGAGGAUCUCCAGCGCGUUGGUUGAGGCCUUCUGCUUCUCAAGUUGAAGUUGGAUUCGGUACACGAUUAAAGCUUGGCGCACCGUCAGCAUUAUCAGGUUACAAUUAACCUGACAGGAAGGUGCGGCUUUACACUGAACAUUGAACCACGUUGCAACAUUGUACAAAUUCACCAUAUUUCAUCUGUUCACAAACCUGUAGAGUUUAACUCAUGGAUUCAUUGUCGUUACUUUACUUAAAGAAACAGCACAGAAUAGGCUCUAACGUCCCGUCAAGCGGAACACCCAGCACCUCCUUGAACUAUCGAUUCUAAGGCUAACCUAAACACGAGACAACUUUACAAUGGCCAAAUACUCGGUAUGUAGAAACUGGCUAAUGUUAAAAAUAAUUGCAAGACUAACAUACCUGGUGUAGAAAGUGCCAUGAAAAUACCCCGAAUUAUUUCUAGAUUUUUGAAUAAUCAUAUGACAAUCAGAUAUUCUUACAGCAGUAUAAUACCUCGCCAGUAGCAUUAUACUGCUGUAUAUUUAACUAUUUGUUGUAUGUGCACUUUAUGUCCAUAGAAUAUAUUUUAUUAUCUGUUAAUAUUAUUGUGAUAUUAUUUUAUGUGCUGUAUCUGAUAUAUGUCUUGUGUUUUGCACCAAAUAAUUCCCAGAGGAACAUUGUUUCCUUAGCUGUAUGCAUGUGUCCAGUUGAAUAACAAUAAACUUGAACUUGAGUUUAAGAUACACUCAACAGUUAAUGUUUGAAAGUCAAAGGAAAUAAAACUUGAAACAUAAAAUGUGCUGUCAAUUCAUCAUCACCAUUACACAGUACAGUACUACAUAAAAUUAACCAAGCACAAAGCAGGAAAGAAUGUAAAGACUGAAAUUUCAAAUAAAAAACCCGAAAAUGCUGGAAAUAGCCUGCUGGUCAGUUGGAGCCUGUAGAAGUUUAAAGACAGUUACUGUUUAAGGUUGAUAUCUUGUGCCCUUGUCAUCAGACUGAGACAUGAUCUGCAUUUUCCACUCUGCACACCCUGUCUAACCUGCUCACUGAUCCAGCAUUUUAUUUAUUUUUAUUGCAUUGUGUCUAUUUCAGAUGAAAUCUGGGGUAUUUACAGAGCAAGACAGAAUUAUGGGAUUGAUCAGUUGCAAAAUUUAAAGUCAUUUUUUUCUCUAAUAUACUGUAAAUGAUAUUAUACUCUUAGUGGCCACUUUAUUUGAUACCACCUCUACCUAAUGAAGUAGCCACUGCACGUAUGUUCAUGGUGUUCUGCUGCUUUAGCCCAUCUACUGCAAGUUUUGAAAUGUACAUUCUGAGAAUCUCUUCUGCACACCACUGCUGUAACACAUGCUACUGUCACCCUCCUAUCAGCUGGAACCAGCCCAGCCAUUCUCCUCCAAUCUCUCUCAUCAACAAGGCCAUGCCCACAGAAUUGCUGCUCACUGGACUUUCUUUGUAAACUCUAGAGAUUGUUGUGCAUGAAAAUUCCAGGAGAUCAGCACUUUCUGAGAUACUCAAACCACCCCAUCUGGCACCAGCAAUCAUUCCAUGGUCAAAGUCACUUGGAUCACAUUUCUUCCCGAUUCUGUUACUUGGUCUGAACAACAAACAAAUCUCUCAAUCAUGUCUGCAUGCCUUAAGCCACUGAAUUGCUGCCACAUGAUUGACUGAUUAGAUACCUGAACAUGUGUACCUAAUAAAGUGGUCACAGAGUGUAAUUAGACAAUUUUUGUUGCUCCUGUUCUGUCUUCAAAGCUACUAAUUGAUCUACAUCCAAAUUAAUGAGCAUAAAGAUAGAGGACAAGCUUCCUCGAAAAUCACUCUGAGCACCAGUGCCCCACAAGGCUGUGUACUCAGCCCCCUGCUGUACUCACUGUACACCCAUGAUUGUGUAGCCAAGUUUCCAUCAAACUCAACAUAUAAGUUUGCUGAUGAGAACACAAUUGUAGGCCGCAUCUUGGGUAAUGAUGAGUCUGAGUACAGAGAGGAAAUUAAGAACCUGGUGGCAUGGUGCAAAGACAAUAACCUAUCCCUCAACGUCAGCAAGAUGAAGGAAUUGAUUGUUGACUUCAGAAGGAGUAGCGGACCGCAUAACCCCAUCUACAUCGGUGGUGCGCAGGUGGAACAGGCCAAAAGCUUUAAGUUCCUUGGGGUGAAUGUCACAAAUGACCUGACUUGGUCUAACCAAGCAGAGUCCACUGCCAAGAAGGCCAGUCAGCACCUUUACUUCCUGAGAAAGCUGAAGAAAUUUGGCCUGCCCCCUAAAAUCCUCACUAAUUUUUAUAGGUACACCAUCUAAAGCAUUCUUCUAGGGUGCAUCACAACCUGGUAUGGAAGUUGUCCUGUCCAAGACCAGAAGAAGCUGCAGAAGAUCAUGAACCUAGCCCAGCUCAUCAUGCAAACCAAUCUUCCAUCCUUGUACUCACUUUACACUGCACGCUGUCGGAGCAGUACUGCCAGGAUAAUCAAGAACAUGACCCACCCAGCCAACACACUUUUUGUCCCUCUUCCCUCCGGGAGAAGGUUCAGGAGCUUCAAGAUACGUACAGCCAGAUUUGGGAACAGCUUCUUUCCAACAAUGAUAAGACUGUCCAAAUUUCUGGACCUGACUUGCACUACUGUACUUUCCCUUUUCUGUUAUCUAAUUAUGAAUUAUAAUUAAAAUUUUUAUUAUAUUUACUUUGAUUUGUACUUCAGGGAGCGCGAAGUGCAGAAACAAAUAUCACUGUGAUGAUUGUAUGCUCUAGUAUCAAUUGUUUGGUGACAAUAAAGUAUUUGUAUUUGUAUAAAAUAUUGAUUACAAACUCCUUUUCAGAGAGAUUGCCUUGUAGCAAUUUUGACAGCAGAGAUUAUUUGAAGUUGCAAGAUGACAAAUUAGAUUGAAACCCCUCCCCCUCCCCAAGUGUCAAGGGCACCACAACAUGAAUCUGCUCAGGGUGUGGCUGCUGGUUGAAAUAACUCUGAAAGAUUUUUCUUCCUGGCAGCAGAUGGUGAAAAACAAUAAAACAAUUAACCAAAAUUCUUGCUGGUUAUCAAAGACUUUAGUCUUUGGUUGUAUUGUUUGGAGAGAAGGUUUUCAAUGCAGCCUCUCUGAUUGUUAACUUUUGAAUACUAGGGGGCACAUAGUUAGGGUGAGAAGGGAAAGAUUUAAAAGAGACUGUAGUGACAGCUUUUUUGUGCGAAGGAUGGUGAUGAGCUGCCAGAGGAAGUGCAAUAGUAUCACUCAAGAAACACUUGGAUAGGUACAAGGAGGGCGGUGUCCUGGCCAGACACAGGAAAUUGGAAUGAGAUGGGUGGACAACAUGGUCAGCGUGGACUAGCUGACCGAAGGGCCCAUACCCAUGCUGUAUUUCUCGUUAACUCUGAACUAUUGAAUAAAGCCGCUUUCAAGGCAAAUAUUAUUGAAAAACCUGCUCACUCUGACUAUUCUGAAUCAAUCCUUAAACAAACUAAUUCACUUCAGUAAACCUGAAGUACCAAUAUUUCCAACACUUUAAGGCCAUGUCUGCACCAAAAGCGGUCUGAAAAAUAAUCAUCAAUAAAUGUGGAUAAUAUAUAUUCACAAUAACUGUGUCAUUCUAAAUAUUAGAGGUCAACACUUACAUCAAAUGUGAGCUAUUUAAAAAAAACAAAUAGUUUUAACAAUGUUCUCCAAACUUUAUCUGUGGGCUUAUUAAAUGCUGCAGCAACACAAUGAAAGCUAAUGUACUGUUUAGGUGCCAAAUAUUUGAUUCCAAUUGAGGAAAACUGAGUAAGUUGACCUCUGAAGUAUAAUUUUACUGAUUUAAGGGCAGUGAAUGGAUCAUCACGGCAGCAUCAUAUAAAACUUGAAUAGAUUAGGACUUAAUUUCCUGGAGCAUCAGAGAAUGAGGGGAUAUUUGAUAGAGGUGUGAAAAAUUCUGAGGGGUAUAGAUAGAGUAAACACAAGCAGGCUACUUUCCACCCAGGCUAUGUGAGACUAAAACUGGAGGUCAUGGGAAAGGUGAAAUGUUUAACAGUAACCUGAGGUGGAACUUCUUCAGUCAGAGUGUGGCGCAAAUGUGGAUCUAGCUGCCCAAGGAAGUGAUGGCUGUGAAUUUGAUUUCAAUGUUUAACGGAAAUUUCGAGAUGUAGAUGGAUGGGAGGGGUAUGAAGGACUAUGGUCCUGGUGCAGGCCAGUGGGACUAAGCAGCAUAAUAGUUCAACAUGCACAAGAUGGGCUGAAAGGCCUGUUCCAUUCUGGAGUACUCUGACUCUAUAAAACUUUGUGAAUGCCAUUGGGAGUUAGUAGCAGUUAACUAGUAAUGAGACUGGGGAAGGGGUAGGUUUGCAAAUGCAGCAGGACAUGGUUGCAUACCAGUUAGUACAAUGAUUUACAACAUCAGCUGCAAGAUCAAGGUUUCACUAUUGCCUGUAAGUAGUUUGUACCAUGAGGGUUUCCUCCAGGUGCUCUGGUUCCCUCACACACUCCAAAGACAUAUGGGUUAGGGUUAGUAAGUUGUGGGCAUGUUCUGUUGGUGCCAGAAGUUUUCAAACUGUGUUGGGUGCCAACGCAAAUGAUAUAUUUCACUGUAUGUUUCAAUGUACAUGUGACAAAUAAAGCUAAUCUUUCUUUACUCUCAUAAAGCUGUGAAUCUGCCAUUGCCCUGAAGCAGAGUGAGACAGGACCAACCACGUUCAACA